rnacentral:rRNA from 1 species
GGUUAAGCGACUAAGCGUACACGGUGGAUGCCCUGGCAGUCAGAGGCGAUGAAGGACGUGCUAAUCUGCGAUAAGCGUCGGUAAGGUGAUAUGAACCGUUAUAACCGGCGAUUUCCGAAUGGGGAAACCCAGUGUGAUUCGUCACACUAUCAUUAACUGAAUCCAUAGGUUAAUGAGGCGAACCGGGGGAACUGAAACAUCUAAGUACCCCGAGGAAAAGAAAUCAACCGAGAUUCCCCCAGUAGCGGCGAGCGAACGGGGAGCAGCCCAGAGCCUGAAUCAGUGUGUGUGUUAGUGGAAGCGUCUGGAAAGGCGCGCGAUACAGGGUGACAGCCCCGUACACAAAAAUGCACAUGCUGUGAGACUCGAUGAGUAGGGCGGGACACGUGGUAUCCUGUCUGAAUAUGGGGGGACCAUCCUCCAAGGCUAAAUACUCCUGACUGACCGAUAGUGAACCAGUACCGUGAGGGAAAGGCGAAAAGAACCCCGGCGAGGGGAGUGAAAAAGAACCUGAAACCGUGUACGUACAAGCAGUGGGAGCCUCUUUAUGGGGUGACUGCGUACCUUUUGUAUAAUGGGUCAGCGACUUAUAUUCUGUAGCAAGGUUAACCGAAUAGGGGAGCCGAAGGGAAACCGAGUCUUAACUGGGCGUUAAGUUGCAGGGUAUAGACCCGAAACCCGGUGAUCUAGCCAUGGGCAGGUUGAAGGUUGGGUAACACUAACUGGAGGACCGAACCGACUAAUGUUGAAAAAUUAGCGGAUGACUUGUGGCUGGGGGUGAAAGGCCAAUCAAACCGGGAGAUAGCUGGUUCUCCCCGAAAGCUAUUUAGGUAGCGCCUCGUGAAUUCAUCUCCGGGGGUAGAGCACUGUUUCGGCAAGGGGGUCAUCCCGACUUACCAACCCGAUGCAAACUGCGAAUACCGGAGAAUGUUAUCACGGGAGACACACGGCGGGUGCUAACGUCCGUCGUGAAGAGGGAAACAACCCAGACCGCCAGCUAAGGUCCCAAAGUCAUGGUUAAGUGGGAAACGAUGUGGGAAGGCCCAGACAGCCAGGAUGUUGGCUUAGAAGCAGCCAUCAUUUAAAGAAAGCGUAAUAGCUCACUGGUCGAGUCGGCCUGCGCGGAAGAUGUAACGGGGCUAAACCAUGCACCGAAGCUGCGGCAGCGACGCUUAUGCGUUGUUGGGUAGGGGAGCGUUCUGUAAGCCUGCGAAGGUGUACUGUGAGGUAUGCUGGAGGUAUCAGAAGUGCGAAUGCUGACAUAAGUAACGAUAAAGCGGGUGAAAAGCCCGCUCGCCGGAAGACCAAGGGUUCCUGUCCAACGUUAAUCGGGGCAGGGUGAGUCGACCCCUAAGGCGAGGCCGAAAGGCGUAGUCGAUGGGAAACAGGUUAAUAUUCCUGUACUUGGUGUUACUGCGAAGGGGGGACGGAGAAGGCUAUGUUGGCCGGGCGACGGUUGUCCCGGUUUAAGCGUGUAGGCUGGUUUUCCAGGCAAAUCCGGAAAAUCAAGGCUGAGGCGUGAUGACGAGGCACUACGGUGCUGAAGCAACAAAUGCCCUGCUUCCAGGAAAAGCCUCUAAGCAUCAGGUAACAUCAAAUCGUACCCCAAACCGACACAGGUGGUCAGGUAGAGAAUACCAAGGCGCUUGAGAGAACUCGGGUGAAGGAACUAGGCAAAAUGGUGCCGUAACUUCGGGAGAAGGCACGCUGAUACGUAGGUGAAGCGACUUGCUCGUGGAGCUGAAAUCAGUCGAAGAUACCAGCUGGCUGCAACUGUUUAUUAAAAACACAGCACUGUGCAAACACGAAAGUGGACGUAUACGGUGUGACGCCUGCCCGGUGCCGGAAGGUUAAUUGAUGGGGUUAGCGGUAACGCGAAGCUCUUGAUCGAAGCCCCGGUAAACGGCGGCCGUAACUAUAACGGUCCUAAGGUAGCGAAAUUCCUUGUCGGGUAAGUUCCGACCUGCACGAAUGGCGUAAUGAUGGCCAGGCUGUCUCCACCCGAGACUCAGUGAAAUUGAACUCGCUGUGAAGAUGCAGUGUACCCGCGGCAAGACGGAAAGACCCCGUGAACCUUUACUAUAGCUUGACACUGAACAUUGAGCCUUGAUGUGUAGGAUAGGUGGGAGGCUUUGAAGUGUGGACGCCAGUCUGCAUGGAGCCGACCUUGAAAUACCACCCUUUAAUGUUUGAUGUUCUAACGUUGGCCCCUGAUCGGGGUUGCGGACAGUGUCUGGUGGGUAGUUUGACUGGGGCGGUCUCCUCCUAAAGAGUAACGGAGGAGCACGAAGGUUGGCUAAUCCUGGUCGGACAUCAGGAGGUUAGUGCAAUGGCAUAAGCCAGCUUGACUGCGAGCGUGACGGCGCGAGCAGGUGCGAAAGCAGGUCAUAGUGAUCCGGUGGUUCUGAAUGGAAGGGCCAUCGCUCAACGGAUAAAAGGUACUCCGGGGAUAACAGGCUGAUACCGCCCAAGAGUUCAUAUCGACGGCGGUGUUUGGCACCUCGAUGUCGGCUCAUCACAUCCUGGGGCUGAAGUAGGUCCCAAGGGUAUGGCUGUUCGCCAUUUAAAGUGGUACGCGAGCUGGGUUUAGAACGUCGUGAGACAGUUCGGUCCCUAUCUGCCGUGGGCGCUGGAGAACUGAGGGGGGCUGCUCCUAGUACGAGAGGACCGGAGUGGACGCAUCACUGGUGUUCGGGUUGUCAUGCCAAUGGCACUGCCCGGUAGCUAAAUGCGGAAGAGAUAAGUGCUGAAAGCAUCUAAGCACGAAACUUGCCCCGAGAUGAGUUCUCCCUGACUCCCUGAGAGUCCUGAAGGAACGUUGAAGACGACGACGUUGAUAGGCCGGGUGUGUAAGCGCAGCGAUGCGUUGAGCUAACCGGUACUAAUGAACCGUGAGGCUUAACCUU